AAUAGAUACCCCGGUAGUCCACCCCGUAAACGUUGGGAACUAGUUGUGGGGUCCUUCCCACGGAUUCCGUGACGCAGCUAACGCAUUAAGUUCCCCGCCUGGGGAGUACGGCCGCAAGGCUAAAACUCAAAGGAAUUGACGGGGACCCGCACAAGCGGCGGAGCAUGCGGAUUAAUUCGAUGCAACGCGAAGAACCUUACCAAGGCUUGACGUACACCAGAACACCCUAGAAAUAGGGGACUCUUUGGACACUGGUGAACAGGUGGUGCAUGGUUGUCGUCAGCUCGUGUCGUGAGAUGUUGGGUUAAGUCCCGCAACGAGCGCAACCCUCGUUCUAUGUUGCCAGCACGUAAUGGUGGGAACUCAUGGGAUACUGCCGGGGUCAACUCGGAGGAAGGUGGGGAUGACGUCAAAUCAUCAUGCCCCUUAUGUCUUGGGCUUCACGCAUGCUACAAUGGCCGGUACAAAGGGCUGCAAUACCGUGAGGUGGAGCGAAUCCCAAAAGCCGGUCUCAGUUCGGAUUGAGGUCUGCAACUCGACCUCA
rnacentral:rRNA from 1 species